GUAGGGAAUAUUGCGCAAUGGGCGAAAGCCUGACGCAGCAACGCCGCGUGCACGAUGAAGGUCUUCGGAUUGUAAAGUGCUUUUAUGAGGGAAGAGAAAGGACUGUACCUCAUGAAUAAGGAUCGGCUAACUACGUGCCAGCAGCCGCGGUAACACGUAGGAUCCGAGCGUUAUCCGGAUUUACUGGGCGUAAAGCGCGUGCAGGUGGUUCGGUAAGUUGGAUGUUAAAUCUCCCGGCUCAACUGGGAGCUGUCGUUCAAAACUGCCAGACUAGAGGACGGUAGAGGGAGGUGGAAUUCCGGGUGUAGUGGUGAAAUGCGUAGAUAUCCGGAGGAACACCAGUGGCGAAGGCGGCCUCCUGGCCCGCUCCUGACACUAAGACGCGAAAGCUAGGGUAGCGAACGGG
rnacentral:rRNA from 1 species